GUGGGGAGUUAACGUUUCCUUGGGUCUGCAGACUUUCCAGAGACAUGGUGUCUACUUAGAAGAAACAAAAUCAUAAAUGCAGCACCGUGUCCAGUUCUGCACCAGACGGCCAGAUGGUGCGGAAGGCAGACCUGCGGGGUGGAGGCCCCGGCGUGGGAGAGGGCGAGGUCGGCGGCUGGCCCCCGCCCCGGGGCAGAUGGUCCGCGGGGUCGGGGCGAGGCGGGCCCCUGGCUCACAGGAGGCCGGAGGUGCGCGGUGGCCGUCGGCGGGUCCGGAGGCGGGCGCGCGGUCACAGGGUGCUCAGGUGCGGCAGCGCGUCCAGGGACCCGGCUCGGUCGCGCGCGGCGGCCGCAGACUCCACGCCGCGCAGCCACUCGGUGCACUUGCGCACCAGGCCCUCGUCGGCGGCCGCGGCCUCCUCCUCGUACUCCACGUCGUCGUACUUGUGCCGGUCGUUGAGCAGCGACACCUUGAGCAGCGGGCGCAGGUCGGCGGGCCUCGGGCCGGGGUCGGGGCCCCGCAGGGCGCCGGGCGGGGGCGGGCGGCGGCCGAGGCCCGCGGCCCGGGCGGGGAGGCAGGGGCCGAGCGGGCGCCCGGCGUCGGCGAGGCUGCGGGGGGCGCCCGGCGGGGCCGCGCCAGCAGCUGCCUCUCCAGGUGGCGCCGCUGGAUGACCAGGACGGCCUCGGGCGUGAGGCUCAGGGAGAAGCGCCGGGCGGCGUCGGGCCCGGCCGCCGAGGCCGUGCUCCCCGCGGGGCCGUCGCCGGAGCCGGCCGGCCGGGGCGCGCACGGGGCGGGGGCGCGCGGGCGGCCGGGCGCGGCCGGGGGCAGGGCGCGCGGGGAGGCCGGGCCGGGGGCGCGGCGGGCCGGCGGCCUCUUCAGGGUGGCGGAGGGCCAGGAGCUGGACAGCAGCCCCUGGGGCCGCUCGGGGGGCCGCCUCUUCUUCUCCGCGGCCGCGGCGGGCGGCGAGGGCCCGGGCGGGGCGCAGGGGGGCGCGGGCGCCUUGCGGGGCGCGCCGGCUUCCGGGGCGGCGGCGGCCGCGCGGCCGGGACCCCCGGGGCGGGGGUGGGCGGCGGCGGCGGCACGGGCGGGAAAGGCAUGGUGCUGCCGGGCCGGCGGGUGCUCAGUGCCCUGGAAGGAGAGGGGCGGCUUUAGUCCCCGGGGCGCGGAGCCGGGCGCCCUCUCCAUGGGUGGCCGGGGUCGGCCCCUCGCGCUCCCUCCGUACCCACCUCGGUCCAGCCGCGGCAUCGCCGGCCCCGCCAGGUCCCGGCGCCCACACCCCGGGGCUGUACGCCGCCGAGGCACCCUCCUUCCUUGGGCAGCCGGGGGCUCUGCCCCCGCUCGGGGGCUCCUCGCCCUGCGGGGUGCGGAUCGCCACCGGCCGCCUGGUCCGCGCCGAGAGAGACGCGCGGGCGGGAGGAGGAGCUGA
rnacentral:lncRNA from 9 species